AGUGAACGCUGGCGGUAGGCCUAACACAUGCAAGUCGAACGGCAGCACAGUAAGAGCUUGCUCUUACGGGUGGCGAGUGGCGGACGUGUGAGGAAUACAUCGGAAUCUACUUUUUCGUGGGGGAUAACGUAGGGAAACUUACGCUAAUACCGCAUACGACCUACGGGUGAAAGCAGGGGAUCUUCGGACCUUGCGCGAUUGAAUGAGCCGAUGUCGGAUUAGAUAGUUGGCGGGGUAAAGGCCCACCAAGGCGACGAUCCGUCGCUGGUCUGAGAGGAUGAUCAGCCACACUGGAAGUGAGACACGGUCCAGACUACUAAGGGAGGCAGCAGUGGGGAAUAUUGGACAAUGGGCGCAAGCCUGAUCCAGCCAUACCGCGUGGGUGAAGAAGGCGUUCGGGUUGUAAAGCCCUUUUGUUGGGAAAGAAAAGCAGCAGGUUAAUACCCCGCUGUUCUGACGGUACCCAAAGAAUAAGCACCGGCUAACUUCGUG
rnacentral:rRNA from 1 species